rnacentral:tRNA from 1 species
AAGGAUUUAAGUUAAAAAAACUAGUAACCUUCAAAGUUACAAAUAAACAAAAAGUUUAAACCUUA